GUUCUUUUCAUUUUUUUGUUAGAGCCCUUCACCAGUGCCGAAGCCAAAGGUGAGCUCUCUGCACUAUGACACCUCAAUUCAGCACCGCUACGCUCGCACUCACGUCACGAGCAAGAUCAGCAACCCGGCUGAGGUGGGCCAAGAGGUGCACUUCCAGGUCACCUUGCCCGAAAACGCCUUCAUCUCCAAAUUCGUCAUGACAAUCAAAGAUGUUGGAUAUGAAGCAUAUGUGAAAGAAAAGGAAGAAG